AAGAACCACUAGGGGUGUCUUUUGACUGAGAGAGGCGAAUGCCUUAACUCUUAGAACCUGAUCUAGUUUAAACUAGCGUAGGGAAGUGGUAGACGGAUUUU
rnacentral:ncRNA from 2 species